rnacentral:rRNA from 1 species
CACGUAGGGUGCGAGCGUUGUCCGGAAUUAUUGGGCGUAAAGAGCUCGUAGGCGGUGUGUCGCGUCGGCCGUGAAAACCUGCAGCUUAACUGUGGGCGUGCGGUCGAUACGGGCAUCACUGGAGUUCGGCAGGGGAGUCUGGAAUUCCUGGUGUAGCGGUGAAAUGCGCAGAUAUCAGGAGGAACACCGGUGGCGAAGGCGGGACUCUGGGCCGAUACUGACGCUGAGGAGCGAAAGCGUGGGGAGCAAACAGG